UACGAAGGGUGCAAGCGUUAAUCGGAAUUACUGGGCGUAAAGCGCGCGUAGGUGGUUCAGCAGUUGGAUGUGAAAGCCCUGGGCUCAACCUGGGAACUGCAUCCAAAACUACUGAGCUAGAGUACGGUAGAGGGUAGUGGAAUUUCCUGUGUAGCGGUGAAAUGCGUAGAUAUAGGAAGGAACACCAGUGGCGAAGGCGACUUGCUGGACUUGUAGUGACGCUGAGACGCGAAAGCGUGGGGAGCAAACAGGAUUAGAUACUCUUGUAGU
rnacentral:rRNA from 1 species